AUGAGAAAGGCUCCUGCGGGGUGAGGAGCAGAGUGGCAAUGACCACUGCGGCCCCACGCCGGUUGGCAGGGACAGACAGGCGGUGGGUGGAGGGCUGCCACAUCGGAUCCUCCCAAGGCUGCAGGGAUGGGUCACGGAGCAGGUGGAGGGGUUUGGAUGCAUCUUUGUAAAGAUGCUUUGCAAAUUAUCUGUUCAGAGGGGCUUUAUGUGAGGACUUUGCCCAGCGCCACCCCCGCUUACUGAGCUGCUGUGUCAAUCCCAGCCUUCACUGAGGAGUGAUUGUUCGGUGGGGUUGGUGCUAAGAGCCAUAGAAACCAUCAGGGCGUCAUUGGGGCACCAAGAACCUCUCAGGUCUAGAAGAACUUUGGAGAAAACCCCACUGAAUAUGCAUGGUCACCCCGAGACACAAAUAAUUAACGCUGUAAUCUGCAUUAUUCAUAACAAUAUCAUCUGUACCAGGGCUACACUUGUAUCCCAUGGAGGUUUUGGAACUGGAGCUGUGAACCACACUCGUCAGUACAGUCGUGCUGGGAUUAGUUAAUUUAACCCCCACGGCUCCUCUCUAUGAGAACCCUCCACAUGCUCCACCCUCAGCCCCUCAAGGGUUUCUCUUCUAGGAACAACUUCAGCUGAGGGAUGAGCCCACCACCGGCCCAGAUCAGCGCUCCCACUUUGCAUGGACCAUAGGUCUCCUUCCCAAGAGCUGUUCCUUGAACCCCUCGCCCUCCUGUGUGCACGGAGUGGGUGAGGAAAGCAUCCGCCUGAACCACAUCCACGAAAAGUGGGUAAAGUUUUGCUCCCAGCCCCACAGGAGCAAAUCACAAAUAACUGUGCUUCAGUGUGGGCACCUGGGAUCCUCGUUUUAGCCUUGAGUAUGGUACUAAUUAUCUCCUUCUCAUUUUCCCAAGCAGUUGAGGACGUUACCCGAAUGCUGACUUUGGCAAUUAAAUCCACCGUGCUUUUGCAAACAGCACAAAAUUUUCAUUCCUCACGGUUUUUAAUUUCCAUGCAAGAGGUUUUUCCACCCUGCUCUAUUUAAACCAAUUUAUUUAGAUGUCAUUUACUCAAGUUUUUUUUUUCCUUUCCCGGUAUCUUAACUUUCUAUCUUUUUGUAUCUUAACUUUCUGUUGAUCACUCAGAGAAGCGAACGCCCUGUGCGACACAGGGGCUGCGCAUCCCGAGGAGCUGGGGCUGCUCCGCAGGGUCCAGCACCGCCAGCUGUAUGGCUGGGAUGCUUGUGAGGAUUAAUUGUAAGACACGAGCCAUCAGAAAGCAUUGCUUUCAUAAAGUCACAAGAUCAUAAAGUGUAUAAACCUCCCACUCCAAAUUCGCAGAUUCUCAAUCCUUUUAUGCAGCCUGGACCAUGCUGGUUUUCUCUUUGUGAUCCUAGAGCACGUCUAACCAAGCUGGGGAAGGAAUGAAUGACACCAGGGGAAGAGUGAGUGGAAGGGGAUUUUGAAUGAAGAAAGACACAAAACAGAAAAAAGACUGAAGUUGGGUUUGUCUCUAAACCACCCUCUCCAGAGAGGAGCAGUAAGACACAAAGAAAGGAAAGAAACAGUGGGGUUUUCAGCAUGGAAAGAUGUAAGGGAACCGCCAGACGUUGCCCAGAUCGACAGCGAAGCCGAUGACCGAGAGGAGAAAAUCCAUUUUUUUGCUCCACUUGUCCCUGGGUUUGCAAUUACUACUCCGCGAGUGAUGACACCGGACCCGCCAAAGGAGAUGACUGCUCGUUCUUGCAGGAGGAAACUCUAUGGAGCGAAUGGAGCUUGGACAUGCCAG